GUCGAACGCUUCUUUUCCCCCGGAGCUUGCUCCACCGGGAAAAGAGGAUGCGAACGGGUGAGUAACACGUGGGUAACCUGCCCAUCAGAAGGGGAUAACACUUGGAAACAGGUGCUAAUACCGUAUAACAAUCGAAACCGCAUGGUUUCGUUUUGAAAGGCGCUUUACGGUGCCGCUGAUGGAUGGACCCGCGGUGCAUUAGCUAGUUGGUGAGGUAACGGCUCACCAAGGCCACGAUGCAUAGCCGACCUGAGAGGGUGAUCGGCCACAUUGGGACUGAGACACGGCCCAAACUCCUACGGGAGGCAGCAGUAGGGAAUCUUCGGCAAUGGACGAAAGUCUGACCGAGCAACGCCGCGUGAGUGAAGAGGGUUUUCGGAUCGUAAAACUCUGUUGUUAGAGAAGAACAAGGGUGAGAGUAACUGUUCACCCCUUGACGGUAUCUAACCAGAAAGCCACGGCUAACUACGUGCCAGCAGCCGCGGUAAUACGUAGGUGGCAAGCGUUGUCCGGAUUUAUUGGGCGUAAAGCGAGCGCAGGCGGUUUCUUAAGUCUGAUGUGAAAGCCCCCGGCUCAACCGGGGAGGGUCAUUGGAAACUGGGAGACUUGAGUGCAGAAGAGGAGAGUGGAAUUCCAUGUGUAGCGGUGAAAUGCGUAGAUAUAUGGAGGAACACCAGUGGCGAAGCGGCUCUCUGGUCUGUAACUGACGCUGA
rnacentral:rRNA from 1 species